CGCGACGGGGCUGCUGGCGCUUGAUUUCGGACGAGGCGGUGCUUUUGUGCGUGCGGCGAGUCCUGGAUGCUGCUCUCGGGGCAAGCUCCAGGCGCUGCAUGCGUGGGGCCGAGCCCAAUCCGCGGCGAGCGCCGGCGGCCGGCGUGGGCGGCGCCCGUGCACGAGCCUCGGCGUGCCUUCAUCUCCUCUGCUCCCCCCAAGGGCGGGCUAUCGUGUCAAGCGGGACUUGCUUCGACCUUGCAACGUCCGCACGGGCAGCAGCGCACGGCAUCUAUUGCCGGGCGUUGGGGCCGGUGCUGGGCGUGCAUCGACGGAGCAUUUGGACGCACGGCGCGUGAGUUGUGUUCGGCACGCGCGGUUAGGUUGGAUCCCUGCUCGAGCAGCGACGUCCUGACCCGCCUGUGGGCAGCAGCGCACGACAUCUAUUGCUGGGCGUUGGGGCCGGUGCUGGGCGUGCAUCGACGGAGUAUUUGGACGCACGGCACGUGAGUUGUGUUCGGCACGUACGAUUAUGUUGGAUCCCUGCUCGAGCAGCGAUGUCCUGACCCACCUGCCAUCUCAGUCGCGGGGCAAGUGCAAUGCAGGCUUGCUCGAAGUCGGUUUCCUGUGCUGGAUACCUAAUGCCCAGGCAUUAUCAAGUUUUAUCGAUCGCCUUUCGCCCCUCGUAUUUCAUGUG
rnacentral:lncRNA from 1 species